AAUGCAUCAAUGAUGAGUAAUCCAAUUCGUUAUCCUUGCACUUUGAUUGCUAAAUGAAGAAAAUCAUGGGGAAUUAUAAUCUGAGAUGCUU
rfam:Solanum tuberosum cultivar DM 1-3 516 R44 scf00106_47, whole genome shotgun sequence.